rnacentral:lncRNA from 1 species
GACAAUGUUGGUGAAAAUUGGAUGGAAAUGACUUCAAUGUUGGUGAAAAUUGGAUGGAAAUGACUUAAAUGACGUUGUUUGAAGAAAUAAUGGACUACAUUGACACUUUUUUUAAUUAAGGGACCAAAAUGGACCCGGAGGUUAAGGGACUAAAAAGAUCAUUUUGUCCUUAUUUUAUCAUUAUUAUUUGAUUAUUUCAUUGUCCAUUAUUCUGCAAAUGACAAAUGUAUCUCUCAUCCCUUUUAUUUCAAUUU